UCCUUGGGAAGUGAUUUACCUGAAAAGAGACAAGGAAGAUGGAGAGAAUAUCAAAGGAAGGGAGCAAGGAAAAAAGGGAAGCAUGCAAAGAGACUGUGGAACCCAGUGUCACAGGAAGUUGUUGAGGCCAAGAAUUUAACAAGAUGCAAAAAGGGAUUGGAUAUUUAUAUGGAUAACAAGAAUAUCCUUCAUUAUAAUAAUAAAUGCUAAAAAUCCUUUUGGAAGAGA